rnacentral:tRNA from 2 species
GGACGGUUAGCACAGCGGUAGUGCGUUCCCUUCACACGGGAGAGGUCGCAGGUUCGAUCCCUGCACCGUCCA